CCGCCCGCCCCUGAGCGCGCUCCGGGGCCUUUCCCGCGCUUUCUGAGGGGCAGCGCGUGCGCACUCCGAAGCAAGAGGCGAGGCGGGCGGGGCAGACGCAUGUGCAUAGCACGCCCACUCUUUGCAGGGAGUGCGCAGGCGCAGGGCUGUCCAGGCAGGGCCCACCUGGGAUGCAGAGCGGGGGAAAAGCCAGCUUGCUAAGCUUCCCCACCCACUAGUGGUCUUCCCUCCAAACUCAGCCUAAUGUCCUGAAACCUGUCAGUGGGCCAAACCUUCCAUGCCAUUGGCAGAAAUGUCAUUUACAUGAGACCUCAUGAUCAUUUCCAGCUCUAACCUGUCACCAGAGGGAAAGGCGACGAGUCGGCCCAGAGAGCCCUGGAGCAAAGCAGCGUCGAGGGCCUGCGAGGUACAGGGCACCGUGGGAAGCACCAGCAGCGUCUUCGGACCCAGAA